AUGGAGGUGAAGAAGAGGGCGGCCGCCAUUGCCGCACUGUGCGUGCUCCUCGUCAUGUCAGUGCCGCCCCAGCAGCGGGCGGCCGCCGAGACCUUCUGCGAGUGCUACCAGCCCUGCCACGACGGGUGCAGCCGCAGCGGAUGGAUCUGCAAAGUCGACUGCAUCCAGAAAUGCAAGGAAGAAGGCUACCCCGAGGAGAGCCGCGCCGCCUGCCUCUGGGUCUGCAGCACCGACUCCGUCUGCGGCCCGUCGGCGGCGCCCACCGGUAAGAUGACGACGGGUCACCUUACUUGCAUUGCAUUUCUGCUCCGUUUAUGGAUGAAUUCUCCUCAACAUCGAUGCAAUAUACAUGGUCUCUCCUUUUUCUGUUGA
rnacentral:rRNA from 1 species